rnacentral:ncRNA from 2 species
UACGUGCUCCGGGGUCGGUGAGAGUCCGAACCGGCGGUGACAGUCCGCGAGCGGAGGGUGAGAGCCCGCUGCUGAACCGGUGGAAUUCCGGUGCCGACGGUAAUGCGUCCAGGUUCCGCCCUGGCGCUCAGUCCGGAUGGGAGGCGCACGUC